UGCGGCUGGAUCCCCUCCUUUCUAGGGAGACCUAGAACGUCGACCGGGCUUCCCCGUUUGGCUUUGUGCCAACGGGAACGCUGCUCAUUUUUGAGAGACCGCCGACGGAAGUACUCCGUCGUGUGUGCCUCGGUGGACCUUGAAAACUGCACAAGGCCAAUAUGGGUAUUUAAUUUGCGACCCGAACACUUCGGUGUGCGGGUCGUAUCACCGUCAAGAUGUUAAGGGCUUACGGUGGAUGCCUUGGCA
rnacentral:misc_RNA from 1 species